rnacentral:rRNA from 1 species
AUGGAGAAGGCACAAGGGGCACCACCGUCGGCGCCGCGGCAGUCCAGUUCCACCACCGCUGCUUAUGAGGCCGUGAAUCUCAUGGACGAGGGCCUCGCCGCUUCCGAACCCGGCCCAUCCGUCGCCAAGCGGGCUCGGUUUAUGGGGCCGCACGCAUCCAGUAGCUCAGGCGCUGACCCUGAGAUGGAGAUCCGAGCACUAGUCUCGAUGGCCAGCGGACUCUACCCGUUGGCACGGGCGGAGGCGCUCAGCGGCCUCGCUGCGGUCCUCGAGAAGGUGAAUGCCGGCGGCGGGGUUGUGGAGUGUUGCUACGCUUGCGCGGAGAAAUUGCUGAGGGACGAGGACGAGGGUAUCAGGUUGGCCGCUGUGCGAUUGGUUGGCCUUUGUGCGGAAAAGUUUGCCAUGAGAAAGGAGUUGGGUGGUGAUGGUGACCAAAUGGACCGGGUUUUCCUACAGCUUAGCUCCAUGGCUAGGGACAUGUGUACAGAAGUAAGAAUUGAAGCAUUCAACGCACUUGCCAAAAUGCAGAGAGUAUCUGAAGGUGUUUUGCUUCAGUCACUGUCUAAGAAGAUCAUAAAAACUGACACUGGGAGUGCCUCUAGCAUCAAAGGGAAAAAAUUACCACCUAAAUUAUCAUCCCCCUGUGCUGCUGGCAUAUUUGCACAUGGGGUUGAAGAUGAAUUUUAUCAGGUCCGAACAGUUGCAUGUAAAACGCUGGGAGCUCUUGCAAAGCUUUCAAACCAAUAUGCACAGAAGGCCUUGGACUUGUUGAUGGACAUGAUGAAUGAUGAUACAGAAGCAGUUAGACUGCAAACUUUGCAGACGCUGUUUGAUAUUGCAACAUAUGGAUGUUUGAGCAUGCAGGAGAAGCACAUGCACAUGUUCCUUGGCAUAUUGAUGGAUCCCAAUGUGGUAGUUCAAAAUGCAGCACGCAAGAUCCUAGGGUCAGUGAAUCUGCCUAAACUUCAAAUGUUUAAAUCUGCACUUGAUGGUCUCAUUGCAGGUCUGGAGAAAAAUCCAGAGGAUCAAGAUAUAUAUGGUGUUCUGUUUUCCAUUGGCAAGAAUCAUGGGAGCUUUUCAGCCAAUAUAGCCAAACAUUUAGCCAAAGAGAUCAAUAUGGCAUCUGAUGGAGAGCUGAUCUUGGAUAAACCUAGAAUCAAAGCAUUGUUAAUGGUGUCUGUCUUGGCUGCUUAUGAUGAUAAAGACAAAAAACUGGAUAUACCCGCAGUUAUAUUAUCACAUGCAAUUCCCCUAUUUGGGAUGAUCUCGUGUGCACUAGCCGAAGAUGAACAGGAUUCACUCUUAUCCUACUUGUAUCAUCAAGCUGGAAUGCAGUUUUGGGAAAAGAAGUUAGUGUCUGUAGAAGGUGGAGAUUAUGAAUGUUUCAGUGUUGAAACUGUGGGAGGAACUCAUGCACAGGUAGAAACGACUGGAAAAACAACCAAGUACUUAGAUGAAGUUGUGAUAAUGCAAUCGACAAGGCUCAUAUUAGAAACAGUUAAAGGAGCCUGGGCUGUGAUAAAGCCGUGCAGUAUAGGAAAAGUUCAAAGUACUCUGAGAACAUGCAAAGAAGAAGUCAAUAUCUUAGCUGUAAAUUCUUCUGGAUCAACUAGUGCGGUCUUGAGCUUUGUAUGCGACUAUCUUGAUGCAGUACAGCUCAUUGUUGAAAUAUGGUGGUUCAUUCAGUUGGAUGAUUCUCAUGCUUUUGGCCCCACAUCACUUGAUAUUUUGCUUGAGAAGUUGGAUACAUCUGUGAGAAGGAUGAAAUGUUGUUAUGCUGGAUUGCAUAGAGAACUGGAGGUUCAAGUCUUGGAGUUUGCUUUGUUAGCUAUUUUAUGUAGACUGUCUGAGUUUGGAACAUGUUCAAAAUUAGUGCUAGAUAAGUUGCAUUGGAUAAUUAAUCACAUUGAUGGUCUGUGUGCCGAUGGAUCCUAUGAGCUUUCCAACUUCAGUAAAGAAGUUAAGAAAGUGUUUGAUGGUAACUUUAUCGACGGCACUCCUAUUGUCAACAUUUGCACCUUUCUUGAUAUCUUUGAUCUAAAACCAGCAAGAGAUUUUGAAAUGCUUAAUGCUACAACUGCUGUGCUGCAAGUCCGGGAUACAGAUUCUGAAAAUCCGUUAUCAUACGUUUAUGGAUUACCCGUGGGCGUGACCUUUGACAUGUCUCUGUGCAAUACCUCUAGUCAUGAUAGAAUAUGGCUCCGCAUGGUUGCUGGUCAGUCCGUCCAACAUGUCUUCUUAGACUUGUCUUGUUUUGAGGGCAAUGAUAAGAUGAAGAGCUGCUCCAGAGUCAUUCCUUUCUAUGCUACCCCAAUGGCAUGUUCAUUUGUUAUGAGGGCAUGCUUGGUAAUUGAAUGCCCAUUUGGAAGUAUCGGCACUCACCAGGAAGGACAUGGAGGGCCAAGAGAUUGUGUAGUCCAACUAUGUGAUGAAUUGGAUGUCUACUUUGUUAGUGCUGAUACCGAGCAAAGGCAAUGGUCGAAAUGA